GAUGAACACUAGCGGCAGGCCUAAUACAUGCAAGUCGAACGGUGUCUUCGGACAUAGUGGCGCACGGGUGCGUAACACGUAUGCAACCUACCUUACAUUGGGGGAUAGCCUUUCGAAAGGGAGAUUAAUACCGCAUAAGACAGUAGCUGGGCAUCCAGCAGCUGUUAAAGAUUUAUCGAUGUAAGCUGGGCAUGCGUCCAAUUAGCUAGUUGGUGAGGUAACGGCUCACCAAGGCAAUGAUUGGUAGGGGAACUGAGAGGUCAAUCCCCCACACUGGAACUGAGAUACGGGCCAGACUCCUACGGGAGGCAGCAGUAGGGAAUAUUGGGCAAUGGACGCAAGGCUGACCCAGCCAUGCCGCGUGCAGGAUGAAGGCGUUAUGCGUUGUAAACUGCUUUUAUACAGGAAGAGACGACUCUUGCGAGAGGCAUUGACGGUACUGUAUGAAUAAGCACCGGCUAACUCCGUGCCAGCAGCCGCCGUAAGAC
rnacentral:rRNA from 1 species